AAAAUGGCAAUGUGAAGAUUAUAAAAUAUUGAAGGUAGCUAACACACAUUUUAAAACCAACCAGGUAAUUAUAUAUAUAUAAAAUGUAUAUAAAAACUUAUACACGGAGGGAAGACCACCAUGUGGAUUUCUUACAUGCUAAAGAGGGCAAGCCACGGUACUGGACGAAUAUGUUCUUAACACUAACUUUUAGUCACCCGCUUGUAGUUUUAGCCUUCUUCACUAAUUCUGUUCUCAACCAUACUGAAUGCGGUUAUUUUACCUAUGAUGAUCCAAUCCUAAGCUAUAUUUGAAUAUAGAAAUAAUUGAAACAAAACAAUUAAUCUCUUUAAGUGUUCAAAGUCAACUGCGGCGCAAUAUCUCCAAAGUUUUGAACAAAUUCCAACAUGAAUUUGCUUGAUGAAAGUUCAAGUACUGGUAAUGGAACAGAGGAUAGAACAGCAGAAACAAACUUUUGAGUGAAAAUCGAAAAAGAGCCUCCAAGAAUCGUCUUUGAUGAUAUUUUAUGCUAUAAAACGAUAUUUUCUGCAUAUAUAAUACAAAA